GACGAACGCUGGCGGCGUGCUUAACACAUGCAAGUCGAACGGAAAGGCCCCUUUGGGGGUACUCGAGUGGCGAACGGGUGAGUAACACGUGAGUAACCUGCCCUUGACUUCGGGAUAACUUCAGGAAACUGGGGCUAAUACCGGAUAGGAAUCCUUGCUGCAUGGUGGGGGUUGGAAAGCUUCGGCGGUUUUGGAUGGACUCGCGGCUUAUCAGCUUGUUGGUGGGGUAGUGGCUUACCAAGGCUUUGACGGGUAGCCGGCCUGAGAGGGCGACCGGCCACAUUGGGACCGAGAUACGGCCCAGACUCCUACGGGAGGCAGCAGUGGGGAAUAUUGCACAAUGGGCGGAAGCCUGAUGCAGCAACGCCGCGGGCGGGAUGACGGCCUUCGGGUUGUAAACCGCUUUCAGCAGGGGCGAAGCUUGUGGUGACGGUACCUGCAGAAGAAGCACCGGCUAACUACGUG
rnacentral:rRNA from 1 species